rnacentral:rRNA from 1 species
CAAUAGCGUAUACUAAUGUUGUUGCAGUUAAAAGCUCGUAGUCGGAUUUCAGUAUUAGGCCCUUCUUCCAAUACGGUUGCUAGUGGUCUUUACUUCCUUAACAGAAUCUUUCAUUUUAUUAAUUUAAAGUGUUUGGGGCCUGUUUCUUUUACUUUGAGAAAAUUAGAGUGUUCAAAGCGGGUUUUCGCCUGGAUAUUACUCUUGGAAUAAUAAUAUAGGACUUUGGUUCUUUUUGUUGGUGACUUAGAACCGAAGUAAUGAUUGAUAGGGACAGUUGGGGUCAUUCGUACUAUGAAGCGAGAGGUGAAAUUCAUGGACCUUUGUAUGACGAACUACUGCGAAAGCAUUUGACUAGGAUGUUCCCGUUGAUCAAGAACGAAAGUUGGGGGAUCGAAGAUGAUUAGAUACCA